rnacentral:lncRNA from 1 species
CGUGAUCAUUUCUUUUCUCUUUCUGUGCUCUCUUCUCUUUACCCCAUUUUAAACCAAGAAAGCCCUUCUGGCUUCUUUAUACCCUUGGAAGUCUGCGUCGGUGCUAAUGAUGACUCUGUCCCUGGAGCCAGCAAGUCUCAAAUGUGUACACAAUGCUCCAAACCAGGGCUUUGAGGAGACCAUAGCAGCCUUCAAAGAGACCCACACACACUCAGGGUCCAGCAGCUCACACCGUGGAUCAAAGAUCUUCAUGGUACUGAGCCAAGCCCUACACCUAAAACCAAUCAAGGGAUGCUGUCUUCUAUUCUUCUGGAACUUCACAAGAUCAAGCGAAGCCCUGCACCUGAUACAAAUCUUCUGGCAUGAGCUCAAGCCACGGCCCUCCAACUGAUUCUAAUCAAGUCAGAGAGUGUGAGUGAGCCAGGAUAUGUAACUGAGUAGAGCCAGUGCCUGCCUGGUAAGUACUGCCUGGUAAUCACUGCCUUGUUGCCUUUUAUAGGAGAGCCAGGUCGGGCCCUGCUGGCACUACUGUGCUGCGCUUUACACCAAGCUGAAGAAGCCCCUGGCCUUUGGAGAGGUGGCCUCCUCACCCUGUACUCACUCACCCUGUACUGUAUAGUAGCUGGCCUAUCUCCAGGACUCCUACAAAUCCA